GAUUGGUCUGCAUGUUGACAAUGUCGUAGACCUUGAUCAGGUUGUUUAGUGAACAAAAGAGACCCGUUGAUAGUGAAGUGAAGGAGUGAAUCACAAAACAUAACACUUCCGAAGCGAACGAGUAAGACAAACUUCAGUAACACAUUCUGUUAGGGAACUAAUGUAGAAACAGAAGUGUAAUUUACAAUUAUAACAAGAGACGAUGGAUCAAACAACAGACGUAAGUGAAGAGUGUAGUUAACACAACAAUACAGUCGUACACAUGGCAUCAAAUAGAAGGCAACGCGGGACGAAUCAAUAACAAAACGAAGGUGCAGAAACUUCUGUAACGGACAAAGCUUCUGUUAGUAUUUUUGGCGGAUAAGUGGGGGAGAGACCAGCUAUUGAUCGUGAAAGUCAAGGGGAGAAAUCUUUUACAUUGUAAAGUAUUCGGUUAUAACAUAAUAAUCUCUAUUCGGAUAGGCCUCGUUUCCGCGAAACCAAUGGGUUUUACUAGAGGGGGCUCUACGUGAAGUUGGCCGAACGUUACGACAACCUUGUUCAAACGUGUAUUAUAACGUUUCCGAUUAACCCACAUCCAGAAAACCUGAGGCUCCCAAGAAGUGGAAACCCUAUUCCUGGUACUACCACAGUAAGGUAGGAAGGGCCUAUAUCGGCGGUGUUUUGUACACAUUGUGAAGUACGUGGUGUGAUAGCGCUUGGUCGACGGUUAUGAAGAACAUUUUCUUUCAAUAAUGUUAUGAUAGGCACCUACGACCUCGACAAAGAAAAAGUAGUAAUUUUUAUAAAGGUACGUAUAGAAGUUUAUCGUAAGAUUAAGACAAAAAAAGCACGUGCGGUUUUACGCGGUUUCACUUUGUUUAAAUCGCAAAGCCGGUAGAGGAAUUCGGAUAGUUAUGCCCUGGAAACGUAGGUGUGGGACAAGAAACAUAUCCUCAAAUAAGUGUACAGAAAUAUAUGAUGAGAGGUAAAGUGCUAUAUCACGCGAGCGCAAAAAAUUCUAAAUUCAAACUUUUUACGUAUGUGUAAUAUAAUACCUUGCCUCCCUCAUGGUAGAAGAGAAUAGAAAUAAUACCUUAGCGUGUCGUGUUGGUCUGUUAGGUGGCGGCGAAGGGGUAGCUAGCUAGUAGUAGCAGCAGCGCCGCCGAAAUAGGUGGGUGUUCAAGCAGGUGGGUGUUUUUGUUUUGUUUAUCGUGUCGCGUUGAGAGAGAGAGAGAGAGACGGCGGCUAGUUUGGUGAUGGUCGUGCGAGUGUUUUUCUUAGCGGUGGGUUUUUAGCACCUGGAGUUGGGGUGUGAGGGUAGAAGGGCGGCGCUCGCUCGCGCAGGGGAAACUGAGUCGUCUGCCGCUGUGGUGGGCGGCUGCACAGGGGCGGCCGCGCGGCGCGUCCAGCAUAGGUAGGUAGGUGCACAAGGCCGUGUCGCUUAGGCAGAGGAGGAGGUGUGGGCAAAGGGAGCGCCGGGGCUGAGGCGGGCGGACCUGCUGAGGCCGAGCGCCCGCCGAUAUUUAGCGGGCGGGAAAGGAAGGGCUCGAGGUGAGGCAAAGGGGGAGCAAAAUUUAGGCUAAGCCGGGGGCUAAGCCGUUGGGUCGGGCUGGGUGGACAAGACAAGGGGUCAUUGCUCUUCGAUUUAUUUAGGUAUUUAGGGACCGUCUCUCUCCCUCUCCUCGGUCCGCUAGCUAGGGCCACCGCCGCUCUCCGCUCCUCUCCGCCGGCCGCUUCGUUACGGAAUGACGCUCCACCUGGCCAUGGUCCGGCCGCUGUUCACCCUCCCGCAGGCGGAGAAGAUGGCGGCGAUGCCGGCGCCGCGGUGGUUCCACGAGGAGCAGUAGCCAGACCGCCCCUGCGUGCUGAGCACCCCGGGCGUCUAUUCCCCCGACUGGCCCAGGUACCUCGGCCGCCUGCCGCCGCUGCACGGGCUCGGGCGGCGCUCCUGCCUGCUCCUCCGGCGGCGCGGCCGCUGCCGCUGCCGCGGCCUCCUCCUCCUGCAGCCGCUCCCGUAGCUCCAGACGACGAAGCUGUUGGCGCCGCAGCCGGCGUCGUCGUAGGGGGGCGUGUUUAGGAUGAUGAGCUGCCGCUAGUACCGCUCCCUGCGCGACCGGAACUACCUGGUAGACCCCACCUUCUUUCGGGUGCAGAAGCCGGUGAGGUACCCGCGCUACUAGAGGACGUUCGAGCGUCGCUACCGCGGAGUGGCCGACAGGAGCGACCGCAACGAGUUGCAGUGGCCGCCGCCCUACCUCACAAAGGGGUUCCAUCUACGUGUCUACGAUAGAGAGCGCAAGGCCAAGAAUUCCCGCUCCUGAGGCCUCGUUUCUCGAGAACACCUGAACCUUUGGGUGAUAUGCUUCCUUAUGGAGCUACUCCUUCAACUUAGGACGUGUUCCUCUCGCUAGGAUAUAUUCCUUAUACACUUUCCGUAUAGUAGAAGUCCCUACGUUAGAUUAACGCCCAAACUUCCAGUUUAAUUGCGCACGACCUGAGUGUUUCACUGUUGAUUUCUCGAUCUAUGUUAAGCACGACGGCCAAAAGACCAAAGUCAAUAAGUACCUUCUGUACUAUAAUAACGCGUUCAUACAGUACGCUCCGCCGAACGUGUUUCCGAAGAAGGACAACGAUCUUACCAUCUAGAAGUACCACGUGUAGAUCAGUCGGUACUUUCUGGUGUUCUCCAGUUGUUGCGCGACUACCUAGACUAUUUCCGGUGGUUCAGCCGCUGCCGCGGCGUGCUCACCAGCAGGGUCGGUCUUUUGUGUAGUCUUUGGCCACGGGAAUAAAGACGUUCCGGACAUUGGGAGCGCUAUGCUUGUCCGCUUCGGCCGUUGCGACGGCAUCGUCGCAUAUUGGAUGAACGUUUCAACGUUGAUUCGAAAGAAAUACAGUAUCCGGACCAUCACUACCGCAAACUCGUGUACUCCUUGUAACAUUCUCAUUGCUUCGGGCACUCCCAGCGCCGCUAGCUCAGUAGUAUUUCUUUGUUUUCUGUACAUUUAAUAUGGGGGCUUCGGCCGCUCCUCUAGUAUAAAGUACAGAGGAGGCAUAUGGUAGGCGCCUCUACUCUGCCUAAAUCUCAUCGUAGAGGCGUUCUUAGCUUGGAUAAAAGGGAGGAGGGAACUCUUUCCGGGAGACGAGAGCCGUCUUUGUUGCAAAGCUCUGACUUCUUGUCUCCUCGACAUGGACGCAACGCGUGGACCCGUCUUCGCAGUGCCCCGCACCACUAACUCUACACGACGGUAUGUAACAUAAUCGAGCCUCUCUCGUUUACCUAGCCUACAUGGAAACACACUACUCACAUUAAUUCGACACUGGUUAUACAUGUGCCGGCGUACAACGCAACGCACCCACGACAGCGGCAAGAACACAUGAGGUAACAACACGACACUAGUAAGGAAACUUAUUUAGCCGAGCUAGAAGUGAAACGA
rnacentral:rRNA from 1 species